UACAGAGGUCUCAAGCGUUGUUCGGAUUCAUUGGGCGUAAAGGGGUGCGUAGGCGGCGCGGUAAGUCGGGUGUGAAAUCUUGGAGCUUAACUCCGAAACUGCAUUCGAUACUGCCGUGCUUGAAGACUGGAGAGGAGACUGGAAUUUACGGUGUAGCGGUGAAAUGCGUAGAUAUCGUAAGGAAGACCAGUGGCGAAGGCGGGUCUCUGGACAGUUCCUGACGCUGAGGCACGAAGGCCAGGGGGAGCAAACGGGG
rnacentral:rRNA from 1 species